UUUAGUAAUCUCUUUAUAGUACAAAUGAAAGUUUUAUUUCAAAUACUUAUAUCUGUGUUUGACUAGAUUCAGAACACAGACAAAGUUGGACUCCUGAAUAUAGCACUUGUGGCCUAAAACAAUUGCUUUGUCUGUCACAGUUAGCGAGUUGGGUUCCUAUUACUUUUUCAUAUUUGGAUUGCUUGUUGAAGGUCAUAUAAUUCUCCUGAAGGACAACAGGCAAAUGGCUCACAUCAGUGGCAUCACAUGGGCCAUUCAUUUUCAGUCCAAUGAUGCAGCCGAAUAAUCCUGCUAGGCAUGAAGAACUUGCUGCAUGGUAAAAUGGGUAGGAAAUUAUAAGUAUCGAUUCAGAUAAUAUAUACCUUUUGAGAAUUAGCUUCACAUUUCUAAUGUCCGCACAAAAUAGCUUUCUUGAUUUAAGUUACAGUUGCUAUGUUUCACUCAGAUAAUCUAUAAAGGCAAAAUGAG
rnacentral:lncRNA from 1 species